CCCGCAGAAAGCUGGCCGACGGGAGCGGGAAGAGAUCAGCCGAGCCCUCGCAUCAGCCUUCCCCCUGGGGCAUGUGCACCGUUGGGAAGGUGUUUGUUCAGAAUUGUGUGGGAAGCGAUGCUAGCUAAGCCUUUCCGAAGACAGAAACUCAUUAGAACCACUGAAAGCACAGCAAGAAGUCACUUUGUGGAUUGAUUUGGCACGACAAGCCAAGCAUUGACAAAUACCUUAACAACGUCGAAAGUAGCCUACUUUAAGAGGAAAUAUGCAGAAGAAGAAGAUUUACAUCAAGAUUACCCAGGGUAUUUUCCAAAAGUGAGUAUGUUUUGGUUAAUAUAAUAAAGCUGAAAUUAAUAUAGAUGCAUUUCCU
rnacentral:lncRNA from 1 species